rnacentral:rRNA from 1 species
GAACGCUGGCGGCGUGCCUAACACAUGCAAGUCGAGCGGGGUUGAAGCGAGAGGUAACUCGAGCUUCUACCUAGCGGCGGACGGGUGAGUAACGCGUGGGCAACCUGCCUCAAGGUUUGGGAUAACAGCCCGAAAGGGCUGCUAAUACCGGAUAUGCCUAUGGCCUCGCAUGGGGCUAUGAGCAAAGGGGAAACCCGCCUUGAGAUGGGCCCGCGUCCCAUCAGCUAGUUGGUGAGGUAACAGCUCACCAAGGCGACGACGGGUAGCCGGCCUGAGAGGGUGACCGGCCACACUGGGACUGAGACACGGCCCAGACUCCUACGGGGGGCAGCAGUGGGGGAUCUUGCACAAUGGGCGAAAGCCUGAUGCAGCGACGCCGCGUGAGCGAAGAAGGCCUUCGGGUUGUAAAGCUCUGUCUGGAGGGACGAACAAAAUGACGGUACCUCCGGAGGAAGCCACGGCUAACUACGUG